ensembl:lncRNA
AGCAGUGAUUGGUCAGACCAUAGAUAAUAUAGAAGACAGCGCUCUAGCGGAUCUAGUCUGCUUUAUAUCUAUGGUCGGAACGUCUGGUAGCAUCUCUGACUGCUGUUGAUCUUGUUUUUGGAGUAAAACACGGUGGAAGCUGAAUUAGUGAGGAUGACUCCUGCUCCUGUCAUCUCUAAGCUCCUCACACAUCUUUACCUGCACAUGAGGAAAAUCACUCCUGUAGAAUGCAGUGGUUCAUCAGAACCUCUGGGGAUGUCCUGUGGAUCCUGUGGAUCCUGUGGGUUGCAGGGUGGGUCCUACCUAGACCAGGCUGAUCCUGGACCAUCCCACAGAUGCUCAAUCAGAUCUGGAUGUGGGGAGUGUGGAACCCAGAUGUUCAGAGGGAGAUGAUGCCACAUCUGGUCCAGCUGAUGGAAGGUCUUGAAGUUCUCUGACUGGCCUCGACUGAAGAUGGUCGUCUCACUGGAUUUAAGGUUCAGAUGCUCAGUAACAAACUCCACCAAUGUGCCAACAGGGAAGCUUUAGGUUUAUUAAAUGUUGCUAUGAAGGUUUCGCUGUUUUUCUUAGUGAAUGCAAUGUGCUCCAACUGAAACUUGAAUUAGAACUUAGAAGUAAAUCAUUUCAUCUGAAAGGAUUUAGUUGCAUUAAUAACCUCAUAACAUUCUAAUUUUUAUUCCAGUCUUGGUUGGAAAUAGAAUCUCUGUAUUGAUUCAGGUAAAAACUGAACUUCACAGCAUGUUGGAGCAAAACAACCAGAUGAAAACUGUGAUGGUGUUGGAUUGUCAGACCGUAAUGUUGCAGCUCAAAGCAGCUUUUCUAGCUCAGUUCAUUCUGACAUUCAGCUAUGAAUCAACACAGCAGAUGGUGAUCCAUGCUGUGGAAGUCUCACAUCUCCUGAUUUAAUGGAGCUGCUUUGCACUUUUUACACUGUUUAUUCACCAACACUUUAUUUAAUAAAAGUCCCAUCUAGUUUUUAUGAGGAAUGUGAUGUUUUAAUUUCUCUGUGAAUAACUGCAGUCUAAUGCAACAGCUGGAGUUGUAACAUCUGUCCUGAUAUUGAUCAUGAAGUAUUGAUCAGAAUACUUAUGGUCAGCAGUCAUCCCUGAAGUUUUACAUUAAAAUCUUUACUUGUGUUGUGAACUUUGGUAAGAAGCAGAAACUUUAGCGUUGCCAUGGAUACAUGAGUGUUAAAUUCUGUCCAUGUUUCCAUUUUGGGAAAUUCAGUCCAGUUCCAGAAUGUGGAGGAAUUUAGUCUCAUCAUCACAGACAACAAAUAUUAUCUGAAAGUCGGGUUAUUGUUGUUUAUCAGCACAAUACAAAAAGAUUAAUGUUAGAAAUAUUCCAGUUAAGACUCUAGAAUAUCAUGAUUUAUGUAAAUUUACCUCAAUAAUAUGAAUGUUCAGGUUAAGAUUGUACAGUGAUAUUUAUUAUGUAAGUUUAGCUGAUUAAAGUUUGACUCUGCACUAAAAUAUUAUUUAAACUGACAUCAUUAUUAUAAUAUUUAGAGUCACACCCUACAGUAUUGAGAUCAAGAAAUCAAAUAUUCUAUAAAAUGUAAAUACACUGAACUCAUUUGGAUAUAUUUAAGUGAGACUCUACAAUAUUAUUUGACACAAAUCUAUCUAAAACAAAAUUUUAAUAAUUUUCAUGCCAAACAUUUACUGGACUGAUUAAAAUAUUAAAAUCACUCCUUUCUAAUCCUCUGCUGUACGUUCAAACCUGAGGCCUGAAAUAGAAGCACACAAGUAUCUGUUUGAAGGAACUUCUGCAGAGUCCUGGUUCCAGAACAUGAUGAUAGAAUUAUAGACAAACUUUAACAAAAGCUGACUGAGAGUUUACAGGUUUUUAUGUUGGAUUUCUUCAGUAAUUUAAUGAGCGUUAUCAGCAAAAAUCAAGUGUUCAUUUGAUGAACUUCAUUUCCUAAAACAUGCAGAAUUGGAGCUCAUAUCUUUGGCUGCUGUAAAGUUUCUGCUCCUUCAAAGUUCACAACACAAUGAAUUAAUUCCUAAAACACUCUCAGUGCUGGAGAGCGUUUGUGAUGCUGAAGCAGUGAGCAGUUUUUCUGUUUCUUCUCUGGAGAUGCACAAGGAGGGACGUCUGCAGAGACUGAGAAAGAAUCUCACCACAUCCUGACAUGAUAAAAAAAGACUUUAUUGAAGACUACAAUGAGAAAAACUAUCAGACAGCAGACGGCUGCAUUCAAGGUGAGAUCUGAACAUUUGAUCUGGAACAGGAAUUCAAUCACGGCAGCAUGAGCUUCAUUUCAGUCUGUAGCUACUGAAUUCAUGGAUGAAUCAUCUGGCACUAGAGAGGAAGACCAUCAAACAUCCACGUCAGCUGAUGGAGGUCCAAGAGUCUCACCCAACAAACAACCUACAGAGUGAAGACCUCAAAUCUGAUUGGACGGCCUCCUAUUCAGCCACAUUUUAGGCUGUUAGAUUGUUCCAGAUAAGACAAGUACAAGAUUCUUCAGAGCCGUUCUACCAUGAGCCUGACAGGAAGAACUCCAACAGCUACUGAAUGUUCCUGUGGUUCCCUCAAGGCUACAGGAGGAGCCCUACGAGGACGAGCCGGUCCACCUGAUGGUGGCCAGUCGCUGUGGUUCAAAGCCAACACCGACUACGUGGACUUCUACUGGACCACACGGAGGCCUUCAAACCGGACCAACAAGUUCACCGACUCCCCGACUCGUGGGUCUGAGGAUGCCGCCGAGCCUCGGUCCAGCCGGCCUCCUGUCUGUGGGUGUUUGAGUGCUGAGAGGUUUGUGGAUGCAUGUGAACAUUCUGUGUUGAAACAGCAGCUUUGGACUCAGUAACGCCAGGAAAAACCAAGAGCUCCUUUAUUUGUGACUUCCACUAAAAAAACUGAUGAAAAUAAGUUUGCCAGGGUUCUGACUGAUAACAGAUUAUUAAAUAAUGAAAAUAAUCAUUUAAAUAUUCCUUUAAACAAUCCUUUUAGGUCUACAUUUCCUUUACACUGACUUCUUGGUAUAUGUACAAGUAUUUUGGGUGGAAUAU